AGAAUCAACGCUGGCGGCGUGCCUAACACAUGCAAGUCGAACGCGACUGGGGACUUCGGUUCCCGGUUGAGUGGCGAACGGGUGAGUAACACGUGGGUGAUCUACCUUCGAGUGGGGGAUAACGUUCCGAAAGGAACGCUAAUACCGCAUGACGUUCUGGGUUUGAAGACCUGGAAACCAAAGCCGGGGACCGCAAGGCCUGGCGCUUGGAGAGGAGCCCGCGUCCGAUUAGCUAGUUGGCGGGUAACGGCCCACCAAGGCGACGAUCGGUA
rnacentral:rRNA from 1 species